rnacentral:rRNA from 1 species
ACCUGCCCAUUGGAAUUUAAAAGGCCGCGGUAUUAUGACCGUGCUAAGGUAGCAUAAUCAUUAGUCUUUUAAUUGGAGGCUGGUAUGAAUGGUUGGACAAGAAAUAAGCUGUCUUAAAUAAAAAUAUUGAAUUUAACUUUUAAGUGAAAAGGCUUAAAUUUUCUAAGGGGACGAUAAGACCCUAUAAAACUUUAUAUUUUAAAAUAAUAAUUAAUUUUAUAUAGAAGAUUUAUUUUUAAAUAUUUUAUUGGGGUGAUAAAGAUAAAAUGUGAGAUAACUGUCUUUUUUUUUUUACAAUUAAUAUUUGAGUAAAAGAUCUUAACAAAGGAAAUAAGAGAUUAAGUUACUUUAGGGAUAACAGCGUAAUUUUCUUUAAGAGUUCUUAUCGACAAGAAAGUUUGCGACCUCGAUGUUGAAUUAAAAGUUCUUUAUAGAGUAGAUAUUAUAAUAGAGGGUCUGUUCGACCCUUAAAAUUUUACGUG